AACCUAGCACACCUGCGGUGUGUACCUGCGGAAGGAUCAUUAACAAGCUGUGGGAGAUCAAUUUGAUCUCACACCUGGCCAACCUUGUUAACCUUAAAUAUAUUGCUUUGGUGAGCCCUGGCGGCUUUAGGGUUUUUCUAACCCUAAUAUUUCCCAGACUGGUGCUCACCAAAGUCAAACUCUAAACUCUUGAUUGUUUCUGCUGUCUGAGCAUGCAAGUGCAAAAUUUAGUUAAAAAAA
rnacentral:misc_RNA from 1 species